rnacentral:misc_RNA from 1 species
GAUGAAGAACGCAGCGAAAUGCGAUAAGUAAUGUGAAUUGCAGAAUUCAGUGAAUCAUCGAAUCUUUGAACGCACAUUGCGCCCGCCAGUAUUCUGGCGGGCAUGCCUGUCUGAGCGUCAUUUCAACCCUCAUGCCCCUAGGGCGUGGUGUUGGGGAUCGGCCAAAGCCCGCGAGGGACGGCCGGCCCCUAAAUCUUGUGGCGGACCCGUCGUGGCCUCCUCUGCGAAGUAGUGAUAUUCCGCAUCGGAGAGCGAUGAGCCCCUGCCGUUAAACCCCCAACUUUCCAAGGUUGACCUCAGAUCAGGUAGGAAUACCCGCUGAACUUAAGCAUAUCAAUAAGCGGAGGA